GUGCUCACUUCGGCAGCACAUAUGCUAAAAUUGGAAUGCUACAGAGAAGAUUAACAUGGCCCCUGUGCAAGGAUUACACGCAAAUUCGUGAAGCGUUCCAUAUUUUU
rnacentral:snRNA from 1 species